rnacentral:rRNA from 1 species
AACGAACGCUGGCGGCAUGCCUAACACAUGCAAGUCGAACGAGACCUUCGGGUCUAGUUGCGCACGGGUGCGUAACGCGUGGGAACCUGCCUUUAGGUUCGGAAUAACUCAGAGAAAUUUGAGCUAAUACCGGAUGAUGUCUUCGGACCAAAGAUUUAUCGCCUUUAGAUGGGCCCGAGUUGGAUUAGCUAGUUGGUGGGGUAAAGGCCUACCAAGGCGACGAUCCACAGCUGGUCUGAGAGGAUGGUCAGCCACACUGGGACUGAGACACGGCCCAGACUCCUACGGGAGGCAGCAGUGGGGAAUAUUGGACACUGGGCGAAAGCCUGAUCCAGCAAUGCCGCGUGAGUGAUGAAGGCCUUAGGGUUGUAAAGCUCUUUUACCCGAGAUGAUAAUGACAGUAUCGGGAGAAUAAGCUCCGGCUAACUCCGUG